AAGCGCACGCAGGCGGUCUGUUAAGUCAGAUGUGAAAUCCCCGGGCUUAACCUGGGAACUGCAUUUGAAACUGGCAGGCUUGAGUCUUGUAGAGGGGGGUAGAAUUCCAGGUGUAGCGGUGAAAUGCGUAGAGAUCUGGAGGAAUACCGGUGGCGAAGGCCGGCCCCCUGGACAAAGACUGACGCUCAGGUGCGAAAGCGGUGGGGAGCAAACAGGAUUAGAUACCCUGU
rnacentral:rRNA from 1 species